GAUGAACGCUGGCGGCGUGCCUAAUACAUGCAAGUCGAGCGAACAGACGAGGAGCUUGUUCCUCUGACGUUAGCGGCGGACGGGUGAGUAACACGUGGAUAAGCUACCUAUAAGACUGGGAUAACUUCGGGAAACCGGAGCUAAUACCGGAUAAUAUAUUGAACAGCAUGGUUCAAUAGUGAAAGACGGUUUUGCUGUCACUUAUCGAUGGAUCCGCGCCGCAUAAGCUAGUUGGUAAGGUAACGGCUUACCAGGGAAACGAUGCCUAGCCUACCUGACAGCGUGAUCGGCCACACUGAAACUGAGAAACGGUCCAGACUCCUACGGGAGGCAGCGGUAGGCAAUCUUCCGCACUGGGCGAAAGCCUGACGGAGCAACGCCGACUGAGUGAUGAAGGUCUUCGGAUCCUAAAACGCUGUUAUGAAGGAAGAACAAAUGUGUAAGUAACUAUGCACGUCUUGACGGUACCUAAUCAGAAAGCCACGGCUAACUACGUG
rnacentral:rRNA from 1 species